UAAUACAGAGGUCCCAAGCGUUGUUCGGAUUCACUGGGCGUAAAGGGUGCGUAGGUGGUGAGGUAAGUCGGAUGUGAAAGCUCGGAGCUCAACUCCGAAAUGGCAUUGGAAACUACCUUGCUAGAGGGUUGGAGGGGGGACUGGAAUACUUGGUGUAGCAGUGAAAUGCGUAGAUAUCAAGUGGAACACCAGUGGCGAAGGCGAGUCCCUGGACAACUCCUGACACUGAGGCACGAAAGCUAGGGGAGCAAACAGG
rnacentral:rRNA from 1 species